CAAGAAAUAGUUUAAUUUAAAAUAUUAAUUUUGGAGAUUAAAGUUAAAUAGUCUAUUUUUUCUUGA
rnacentral:tRNA from 1 species